UCGAGCCCCGCAUCGGGCUCCCUGCUCGGCGGGAAGCCUGCUUCUCCUUCUCCCACUCCCCCUGCUUGUGUUCCCUCUCUCGCUGUGUCUCUCUCUGUCAAAAAAAUAAAAUCUUAAAAAAAAAAAAAGAAAGAAAGGAAGGGACAGGUGUCUGAUGACCAGUACCUAGUAUGUGUUGGACAUUUUGCGAAGUGCUUUUUGGAGGAGGUAUUGAGGGAACCUCAGUUGCACAGAAUUGGGCUAUCAGUCUUUGGUUCAUAACACAUUCUGAUUAUCGGCCCUCAGCUUUUAUGUUUGUUUUAGUAAUAACAUGUGCCAAGGGCAGUAAUACACACUGAGUGCUUUUCCACAACUUUAGUUCACUUCAUCCUCACAACUACCCCCAAAACAUGCAAGAUUCAAAUGGCAGGGGAGGUAUUGAGUCAAGUUCUAGUUAAGUUCCAUUUCCAGGAAUGUUUCCAUUAUAUCUCGGCUGUCCCCAGGGAGGCAUUCUUAAAUUUCUUAUUUUAUUACUUCUAGUAAUAUAUGAUAAAUUUUCCAUGUCCUGGGGCAGGAUAUUUUUUGAAAUAUUUUCUUGUUCUGACUACUCUUAAGUGCUGGCUUUCAACUUUCUCUGGCUCCAUUUCCUGGCAGCUAGGACCUGGCCUCCUAGUGUGAAGGGCACCCUGGGGCUGGUAAACAAGGCACCUGGGUCACAAGGCCCUAAUAGGUCAGAAGGUCACGUGCCAGUGAAUGUCAGGGUGGAAGGGCCUUAGAGAUACCAAAGCCAGAACAACAGAACCUUACUUCUGAGUCCUGAGUAAUGGGGUGGGUUUGCUCUAGAAUACUCGACAACUGAAAUGGCAUUCUGAGUGUGCAUUGGUCUCCUGGGAAGUUUUCUGGACCACUCACUUCCUCAAUUCUGGGCUGUGUUCCCAGAUGCAGAAAAAAAGUUUGGUUAAGUAAUUGGCUAAGCUAAUAUCGCUAUUAUGUGGUAGAGCUAUGAUUCGAAUCCAUUACACUCUGUCCAUUCAUGAUGGUAAUGCUUUGUUAUUCAUUUUCCAUUGCCCCGGGUCUUGGUUCAAGAUUCUUCCCUUGGGGGCUCUGUGGUGUCCAGUGUCCGCUGUCUUUGAAAGUCUGCCAGCAAGGGUCUGUUUGGGGGUCUGACCAGUAAGGUCUUCUGGCAUCCAGAACAAGUUUCCCCCAUUCUAAAAGACCCUGUAGCUGGGAAUGGCUCUGGUACCUCUCUCCUGGUGGUUGACUCACCUCCUUGUGUCUAGUUGCAGGAAUGGCAUAUGGGGACUGGCCUCCCAUGAGAGGCUCAGAUCCAGUCUGCAGAGGUCUCUCUUCUGGCCAUCUUGGAGGCCGUUCAGAUUGUGGAAAUGAUGGAGUUCCAGGACAGCCAACCUCAGAGCUAGGAGAGGUGGACAGAAACAGCUGAGAAGUCGCCCAACUGCGAGAAGACGGCCGUGGAGUUCGGGAACCAGCUGGAGGGCAAGUGGGCCGUGCUGGGGACCCUGCUGCAGGAGUACGGGCUGCUGCAGAGGCGGCUGGAGAAAUGGGAACUUCUGGGUCCUGAGGCUGCCACUGGGCAGCAAGGGAGAAGCCCCCAAGGUGUCUCUGACGACAGAAGAUGUGGCCAUGUGACUCCGAACAGGAGUGGAGCAGCCUGGAAGACUGGCAGAAGGAGCUCUGCAAGCACAUGAAGGGGAACCGUGAGAGUCUGGUCUCCCUGGCGAGGAACCCUUUAUUUGAAUGACAGCUGGAAAUCUAUAACACAGGGCAAAGCAGGACCACUCUGGUGGAAGCAAGGGACAUGUUCUCUCAGAACACAGGUCCUGCCAAGACACCUGUUCCUUGCUUUCUAGACUCAGACAUUUUAUUUGGGGAGAAAGGCUUACUUUUGGAGCAAGUUCUUUGGGUGUGUGAAUGCAGUCACGUUGACCUCAGAGCUGAAAGAAGGCACCAUCCCUUCUCGGCACCAGCUUGGAAGAUCCCUGAAGUUUCCAUCUGAGACCACAACGUCUGUACCUGGCUUGGUAUUCCGGCAGAAAGUGAAGCCCCGGGCUAACUCCUGGCCUGCGCUGUGAAUGGGAGACCAGGCCCAGUAAAUACAACGGAAUCGGUGACCCAAGCUCCGAGAACUGUGAAAAUAACAGGAGCAACACUGGAGGGCUCAUGGAGGGCUCGUCCUGGUAAAUAAGAAGACCUCUACUAAAGCACACGACUGAAAACAGCCUGAGGACAGACAGAACGCCUGAAUCCCAGACCUGGGGAACCGCCAAUGUAAAGCCACAGUGUAAUAAAAUAAUCACAAAUGUUUAUCCAGCCGUCAUUAUGUUCGGGACAAUUCCAUAGGGGCUGUGAUUGUUACCCCCAUUUUGCAGAUGAGGAAACUGAGGUGCCCGGAUCUUACAUAAGUAAUCCAACGUGCAAUGAUUAGUCAGUGAGCUUGCGAACCCAAGCGGUCGAGCUCGCCCACAUACCUCACCUCACCAUACCAUCACUGCCUAAUAGCAACCGUGGUCCUAAAUGCACAGGGAAAGGAAAGGCCAUUUAUGUAAAUUAUGCUGGGAGAAUUUAGUUGGCCAUUUGGGAAAAAUUAUUAAAGUAGCAACUAAGCUUCUCUUUGUGUAUCAAAAUAAAGUCCAGGUGGAUUAAAGCAUGACGUAUAGGGGCGCCUGGGUGGCUCAGUCCUUAAGCGUCUGCCUUCGGCUCAGGUCAUGAUCUCAGGGUUCUGGGAUCGAGCCCCGCAUCAGGCUCCCUGCUCAGCGGGAAGCCUGCUUCUCCCUCUCCCACUCCCCCUGCUUGUAUUCCCUCUCUC